GUGCUUGCUUCUGUAGCACAUAUACUAAACUGAAAUGAUACAGAGAUUACCAUGGUCUUUAUGCGAGGAUGGCAUGCAAACUCAUUAAGCAUUCCAUAUUAAA
ensembl:snRNA U6 U6 spliceosomal RNA